rnacentral:rRNA from 1 species
UACUCCCGCCGGCGACCGGCGCACGGGGUGAGUAACACGUAUGAAACCUGCCCGUAGCAGGGGGAUAAGCGGAAGAAAUUCCGUCUAAUACCGCGUAACAACCCGAGGAGGCAUCUCCUCGGGUUUAAAGGAAGCGAUUCCGGCUACGGAUGGUCAUGCGUCGCAUUAGCUAGUUGGCGGGGUAACGGCCCACCAAGGCGACGAUGCGUAGGGGUUCUGAGGGGAAGGUCCCCCACACUGGUACUGAGACACGGACCAGACUCCUACGGAAGGCAGCAG